GUGACAUGUGACAGUAGUUUGAGCUACUCAGGAGGCUGAGGUGGGAGGAUUGCUUGAGCCCAGGAGUUUGAGGCUGCAGUGAGCUAAGGUCACGCCACUGCACUCCAGGCUGGGUGACAGAGCAAGACUCCCAUCUUUAUUUACAAAAAGAGAAAGAAAAUCCCAUCUCUCUGCUGCGAGGCUUCCGUGCCAUGAUGAAGAGAACAAGGGCUGGGGAAGCACAGAGAAGAGUACAAAUCCAGCAUGGAGGAAUCCUGAAAGCAUCCCCUCGAGUGUGUGACAGACAGCCCGGUGCCAAAAAAAAAAAAAAAUGCCAGUGGAGAUCUCUGAGUGCCUAGGGGCCCCUGGAACUACUGGACAAGAGGAAGCUGGAUGUCUAAUACCCUGAAUAAAACAGAGCCCGGCCUCCACCCCAACCCACCCCCACUGACUUUGAACAUGAGUGAAAAAUAAUCCUUUAUUGAGUCAGCUCACUGAAAUACAGAAAUUGUUUGAUGAAGCAAUUAACCUGGCCCAACUAAUACACUAUCUCUAUGCUAAUGACAACCAAAUAUUUGCAUUAUGGGCCUGUUCUUCUAAUUAUGCAUCAAAUGAUUGACAAUGCAGCCCAAACUGAUGGGACAGAUAGUUUUUUUUUAAUAGAUUACUAGGAAGUCACAGAUAUUCAUGCAUACAUUCAUUCAUUCAAUAAAUGUUUAUCGAGUGCCUACAGGCACCAGAUACCGUGCUAGAAACUAAGGUUGCAAUGAUGAGCAAAGAUAAAACCAGUCCAUUCACUCACAAAGUUUACUGUGAGCCUGAUGACAGCUGAUUCUCAUGUCUCAUUAUAUUCCAGCUGCGAGAAACUUCUGUAGCAUUUGCUGCUUCAUGCAAGCCCGCUACCCAUAAAACUGAGGCUUCCCCUCUCUAGAUCCUGGAAUCCACUGUUCUCUCCUCUAUGAAAGGGUGCAACUGGAUAUAAUAGUAUAACACCCCUUUCUCUUAAGUAUUUUGUCAGUUUUUUAUUGUAGUAAAAUAUAUAUAACACAAUCUUUUUCAAUGUAACAAUUUGUUGCUAAUUCAGUGGCAUUAAAUAUAUUUACAAUGUUGUGUAACUUUUACCACUAUCUAUACCCCAAAAUUGUCACUAUCAACAAAAACUCCAUGCCCAUUCAACAGUAACUCCUCUUUCCCCUUCACCUGAGCCUCCAGUGACCUCUAUUCUACUUUCUGUCUCUAAAAUUGGCCUAUUCUAGGUACCUCAUAUAAGUGGAAUCAUAUAAUAUUUGUCCUCUGUGUCUGGUUUUUAUCAGGAAGCGUAGUUUUUAAUAGUACAUCCACGUUAUAGCAUGUAUGAGAGUUUCAUCCCUUUUCGUGGCUCAAUAAUAUUCCAUUGUAUGGCUAG
rnacentral:lncRNA from 1 species